GAUUGAACGCUGGCGGCAGGCCUAACACAUGCAAGUCGAGCGGGGUUUUCGGACCUAGCGGCGGACGGGUGAGUAAUGCGUAGGAAGCUGCCCGAUAGAGGGGGAUACCAGUUGGAAACGACUGUUAAUACCGCAUAAUGUCUACGGACCAAAGUGUGGGACCUUCGGGCCACAUGCUAUCGGAUGCGCCUACGUGGGAU
rnacentral:rRNA from 1 species